rnacentral:sRNA from 1 species
GUUAGUGCGUCCCUUUGGACGCACGGCGCGCCUUGUUGAUCCCCUCAUUCCUGUGCUUGUCACAGGAAUGAGGAAAUCA